UACGUGAGGGGCGAACGUUGUUCGGUGUCACUGGGCUUAAAGGGCGCGUAGGUGGUUGCGUAAGUAACGUGUGAAAUCCCUCGGCUUACCCGGGGAAUUGCAUGUUAUACUGCGUGACUUGAGGAUCAGAGGGGAAUGGGGAACUCCAGGUGUAGCGGUGAAAUGCGCAGAUAUUCGGAAGAACACCGGUGGCGAAGGCGGCCAUCUGGACCGCAACUGACGCUGAGGCGCGAAAGCGUGGGGAGCAAACAGG
rnacentral:rRNA from 1 species